GAUGAACGCUGGCGGCGUGCCUAAUACAUGCAAGUCGAGCGAACCACUUCGGUGGUGAGCGGCGAACGGGUGAGUAACACGUAGGUGAUCUGCCCAUCAGACGGGGACAACGAUUGGAAACGAUCGCUAAUACCGGAUAGGACGAAAGUUUAAAGGUGCUUCUGGCACCGCUGAUGGAUGAGCCUGCGGCGCAUUAGCCAGUUGGGAGGGUAAAGGCCUACCAAGGCGACGAUGCGUAGCCGACCUGAGAGAGUGAACGGCCACACUGGGACUGAGACGCGGCCCAGACUCCUACGGGAGGCAGCAGUAGGGAAUCUUCGGCAAUGGGCGAAAGCCUGACCGAGCAACGCCGCGUGAAUGAUGAAGGCCUUCGGGUUGUAAAAUUCUGUUAUAAGGGAAGAACGACUUUAGUAGGAAAUGGCUAGAGUGUGACGGUACCUUAUGAGAAAGCCACGGCUAACUACGUGCCAGCAGCCGCGGUAA
rnacentral:rRNA from 1 species